rnacentral:rRNA from 1 species
CAAUAAAUCACAAUGCGGAACAAUGUUUUGCAAUUGGAUUGAGAACAACGUACAAACCUUAUCGAUAAACAAUUGGAGGGCAAGUCUGGUGCCAGCAGCCGCGGUAAUUCCAGCUCCAAUAGCGUAUAUUAACGUUGUUGCAGUUAAAAAGCUCGUAGUUGAAAUGAAGGGUAGUUGUGUAAUGAAUACAUUCGUGUAUUUUGUUAUUCUACUACCCUCCUUCUAAAUUCGAUAUAUGAGUAUUAAUUUACUUGUAUAUGGUUUUAGACGUUUACUGUGAGAAAAUUAGAGUGUUCAAAGCAGGCAUUUGCUUGAAUAUAUUAGCAUGGAAUAAUCAUGUAUGAUUUUCAUGAUGUAUUUGAUUGGUUUGGUUCAUGAGAAUAAGAUUAAAAGGGACAGUUGGGGGUAUUCAUAUUCAAUAGUCAGAGGUGAAAUUCUCGGAUUUAUGGAAGAUGAACAAG